rnacentral:rRNA from 1 species
AGAUUGAACGCUGGCGGCAUGCCUUACACAUGCAAGUCGAACGGUAGAGUAGCAAUACUUGAGAGUGGCGAACGGGUGAGUAAUAUAUCGGAACGUGCCCAGUCGUGGGGGGAUAACGUAGAGAAAUUUACGCUAAUACCGCAUACGAUCUAAGGAUGAAAGCGGGGAUCGCAAGACCUCGCGCGAUUGGAGCGGCUGAUAUCAGAUUAGGUUGUUGGUGAGGUAAAAGCUCACCAAGCCGACGAUCUGUAGCUGGUUGAGAGAACGACAGCCACACGUGGGACUAGAGACCGACGGCCCAGACCUCCGACGGGAGCAGCAGGUGGGUAA